CACCUCACACCAGUCAGAAUGGCCAUCAUUCAAAAGUCCACAGACAAGAAAAAAAGGAAUGCUCCUACACUCUUGGUAGGAAUAUGGUUUGGUACAGCCAUUAUGAAAAACAGUACAGGGAUUCCUUAAAAAACUAAAAAUAGACUUACUAUGUGAUCCAGCAACCCCACUCCUGGGCAUAUAUCUGGAGAAAACUACAAUUCA